UUGAUCCUGGCUCAGAAUCAACGCUGGCGGCGUGCCUAACACAUGCAAGUCGAACGCGAAAGGGGAGCAAUCCCUGAGUAGAGUGGCAAACGGGUGAGUUACACGUGGGUGACCUGCCUUCGAGUGGGGGAUAACGUCCCGAAAGGGACUCUAAUACCGCAUGACAUCCUGUCCUUAGACGGACGGAGAUCAAAGCUAGUGAUCGCAAGACCUGGCGCUUGAAGAGGGGCCCGCGCCUGAUUAGCUAGUUGGUGAGGUAACGGCUCACCAAGGCUACGAUCAGUAUCCGGCCUGAGAGGUCGGACGGACACACUGGGACUGAGACACGGCCCAGACUCCUACGGGAGGCUGCAGUGGGGAAUUGUUCGCAAUGGGCGCAAGCCUGACGACGCAACGCCGUGUGGAGGAUGAAGAUCUUCGGGUCGUAAACUCCUGUCGAAUGGGAAGAAUGUUUCGUGGAUGAAUAAGCCGCGAAAGUGACGGUACCAUUAAAGGAAGCUCCGGCUAACUCCGUGCCAGCAGCCGCGGUAAUAAGGU
rnacentral:rRNA from 1 species